rnacentral:lncRNA from 1 species
ACUUGCGUGAGAUUAUCCACUAUAAUCUAGACCAAGAUUACAGAAAACUUCCCUUUGAUCUAAGCCCAGAUCAAAGACCCUUUAUGAUCUAAACCAAGAUCACAAAGUAUCCAGCUAUAACCAGCUGCUCUACCUCAAUCAAUUAUACCCAAUUGACUUGAGAGAAUCCUAAGGUUUUUUCAAUGAUUUCUUUGGAUCUAAGCUUAUACACCUAACCGGAUGUGAAGCUUACAAAUUGAUAGACUCAAAGUACUCACAAAUAUAUGAUCCUAGAUUUCUAAAGAGCUUUAGAGUAAGAGUGAAAAGGAGAGCUUGAUUGAAUGUAUUAGAUUGCUUUGUGUGCUUCAAGUUCUUGCUCUUCCAAUUAAACCAACGUGCAAUUUAUAGAUGGAGAUGCUCCUUUGUUGCUUGGACAUCACA